CGCACGGGUGAGUAACGCGUAUGCAACUUACCUAUCAGGAGGGGGAUAACCCGGCGAAAGUCGGACUAAUACCGCAUGAAGCAGGGAUCCCGCAUGGGAAUAUUUGCUAAAGAUUCAUCGCUGAUAGAUAGGCAUGCGUUCCAUUAGGCAGUUGGCGGGGUAACGGCCCACCAAACCGACGAUGGAUAGGGGUUCUGAGAGGAAGGUCCCCCACAUUGGUACUGAGACACGGACCAA
rnacentral:rRNA from 1 species